rnacentral:rRNA from 1 species
UACGUAGGGCGCGAGCGUUGUCCGGAAUUAUUGGGCGUAAAGAGCUCGUAGGCGGCCUGUUGCGUCCGCUGUGAAAUCCCAGGGCUUAACCCUGGGCGUGCAGUGGAUACGGGCAGGCUGGAGGCAGGCAGGGGAGAACGGAAUUCCCGGUGUAGCGGUGAAAUGCGCAGAUAUCGGGAAGAACACCAAUGGCGAAGGCAGCUCUCUGGGACGGUACUGACACUGAGACGCGAAAGCGUGGGGAGCGAACAGG